CGAUAAUAAAGCAAAGAAGUUUCAAAAUGGCUGGCUACUGUCUGAUCAAUUCUGGAAUUUGGAAGUGUAUUUCAUUUCGUGGUUAUCUUUGCAAUGUGUGCAGUGCUAAAAAUUUACAAAUAACAUCAUAUAUUAACGAUGAAACAAGUGAAAGACUAUGAAGUGUAAACUCCACUGGCAGCAACUGGUGAAAUACCAUGCUUCGUCAUCACAAAUGCUUCUAAUUUAAAUCAAAAAUAAAAUGGCGGAGAUGUAAAUCUAUCCUCUUUACUAAGAAGAAGACCAACCACCUAAUCAAUAUAAGGCAAAAAAACAGAAUAAAGCACAUGAUCAGCGUUACUAAGAGAAUUCUGUUUCGUUUUUUCACUUGACCGCUGGUCGCUCAAGCUAGGCUUCCCUGGGUUUCACCUGGCUAUAGUUGACCGCAACUCGGUUUCUCUGCUCUAAAUGGAAAUUGGUACAGAUUGCAGACCUUUAAUACCAAUGAUUGAACAAGUAAUAAAAUACACAUACUGCAGGGUCAACAUUUGAAGUGACCCUGACAUUGUGACUAAGGCUUAGUAGUAACUCAUUGAACUAUAUUGAUAAAUUUGGUUCUUCUGUGAACCUUUUUAUUUGUUGAUAAAAUAUUAAAUAAUAGGUUUUGUUAUCAAACCUAGUUUGUCUAUUGCCUCUUGCCUCGACUUGUUGAACUAUGUUGAUAAAUUUGGUUUUUCUGUGAAAAGCCAUUUUUUUUAAAUUGUUGAUAGAGUAUUAAAUUAUGGGAUUUUUCCUCAAAUCUAUUUGGUCUAUUGGCUUUGCUCAGUUAUUGAUUUGUUGAACUAUUUUGUUGGUUUUUCUGUAAACCUUUUUAUUCAUUGAUAGAGUAUUAAAUUAUGGGUUUUGUCCUCACACCUAAUUGGCCUAUUGCCUCUGCUCAGUUCUAGACUUGUUGAAUUGUGUUGAUUAAUUUGGUUUUUCUGUGAACCUUUUUAUUUGUUGAUAUUAAAUUAUAGGUUUUGUCAUCAAACCUAGUUAGUUAAACGAAAAAUUUAUAACCCAUAAACUCAUUGGCUUGGUUCUUGUUUACUUAGUUUUUCUGAUAAGUUCUCUUUUAAUAAAAUAUCUAUUACACUAAAGGAUGUUGGUUGUCUAGAUUUACCUGAGUAUGUAUGAAAAACAAAUGAAAUUAUUUAUUUAUAUAAAGAAGAAAAGAAAGAUUUAUGAUUGCUUGAGUUAUGUUGGUCUCCAGAUUGUCAACAAUCUGCUGACCAACUUACAAGAAUGUUUCAUACUUAAGUAUAAUAUAAAUCUUUCUAUUUGUUGAUGAGUAUUAAAUUAUAGGUUUGUCAACAAACCUUUUGGGUCUUAUCAGGUUUGGACAGAGGUUUUUUAUUCCGCAGUCAUAAGUGAUAUUUUGUUGUACUUUCAAAUCUGUGCAUAGUAAUAUAAAAAAAAAGUCUUUUUUAAGUCUAAAUAUUUAAAAUGACAGCUGUGUGAUGCAGUGAAUAGGGACACUGCUUUCUGCAUCCACAGCCGUGGGUUUGAUUCCUACAAUGGAUUUUUUUGUCUGAUGAGUAUUUUCCAAUGUCUGGGUGUACGUUUUGUUCAUAUCUGGUAUAGUGAGGUGGAUAAAUAUAAUUUUUACUGGAUUCUAGUUUCUAAAUAGGAUCAUCUUCAAAAAAAACUAAUAUUUCUUACUCGCUCUUAACUUAGACUGCAUUACUGAUUUCUAUCAGUCAUAAUUGUGGUCAAGCGCACAGGCCUAUCUUUCAUUAAAAUAAACGGUACUUUCUAAAUUUACAGAACUGAAAUAAGCUUAAUCUAUCAAUUGCAGCCCAGAGUGGUUGCUAGUUGUACCACCUAUGAUGGGUGUAAAUUUUAUUUAGUUGAAAAAAAAAGUGUAUAUUAAUUGUUUCUUUAUGGAAACUUUAGGAAACAAUUCAUAUUUACAAAUUUGAUUUGCAAUGAGAUCUUGCUCUAAACAUAUUGCAAAAUCAGUAGGGAAAAAAGUGGGUAUUAAUUGUUUAUCUAUAGAAACCCUUCAUAAACAAUUAACAUUCAUAUGAAUUGCAAUAUCUUGCUCAAAACUUUGUUGGUAGGUCGGCGUUAGUUAUUUGAAUUAAUAGUUGCGCGAUAGCUACUACUUCUCUGCAGAACUUUCUUUUUUAUUUUCUGGUUCUUCUUUCCUUUGGUUUAGUCAUGUAUUUUCUUGAAACUUGUUAUAUUGAUUUUUUUCUCGAAAAGUAUCCUAUAUUAUUCUUUAAAAGUUAAAACGCUGCUUAAUUUGCGAUUAUAGUGCUACCUACAUACAUGAUAGUGGGCCACUGACAAAGGGGAAUGGCCACUGAAUUCGGGUAUACCCCUGUAUAUGGAGAUGAUAAUAUGAAGUAUAAAUAAGGAUCUGGUUAAAUAUAAUUGGCUUAAUAAAAGUAUGUUUCUUGAAGAAAAAUACAUUUUUUUUAUAAUUUUUUUAUAUGAUUUGUGAUUGAGCUUUUUGUGCAGAAUUUUGUGCAUAAUUUUUCAUUUUGUUAUCCUGUCUAAUCUAUUGACUUUAGUUACAAGCAAUGCUUCAGAAUAAGAAGAUAACAGGGUUACUAUCUUAUUAUCUUUCCAAGUCACACAACUCAAUUCUAUACCGUCAUGCACAGACACUCUUUCCUCAAAACUACCUCUGGGCACAGAUUUAUUCAUGAAUUUUUUCUUCUCUGGAAGUUUAUUAUUUGGUAUUCUGUUUGUUGCACAAUGGCAAAGAGGUAUAAAAAUUAUCAAAGUAUAUGAUGUGGUUUUGCUUUCUUGGCACUCCUUGAAGCAAACAAACUACAACAUUUCCUGUUGCACAAAGAGCUGGUUCAUCUGGGAGUUUCUCUGUAUUCUCUUGUCCAGAAUAUACCUCAAACUUGUGGGCAUAUCCUAUCAAAUCACAGAGAACAUAUAAUUUUUAGAAGCCCCAUUUAUGAGGCUUCUUAGUCAGAUACUGUUUUAAAAAAUGCCCUAUAUUUGUAGAACACAUUUGUUCAUCGACAGAAAGUCUUUGAUUCAUUGGCACUGCGGCAACCUCUCAUUGAGAUGCUUGAUAACAGGGCAGUUUUUAUAAAGCCUGUGCAUGUUUUGGAUGACCUAUAGGGAUGUGAAGAUCAUUGAUAUUAAAAUGUAAUGAUAACUUUAUUUUCUCAAACUUAUUCAGUGGUAUUGUUGAAGAAAUGGCUUCAUGUCCAAACUUUGGCGACCAGUAUGAUCUUGUGCUAGGAAAUUUUAUUACUGACAUGUAUAAUACCACCAAAUGUAUAAUACUAAUACCAAAGAACUUAUACAAAUCAUAUUCUGUAAAUGUUAUAGAUGAAUUGGGAUUACUCUGUAUCAUACAUAUAUAAAUUUGCCUCCUCUACUAACAUGUUCAUUCAUUCAUUUAUUUAUGUUUUGAUAAAAUCUUCAGUGAUAAAAUGAUUAAAAUAUUGAUAUGGGGUUUCUAGGUGUGAUAGACCACCUGAUGCAGUAGAACUCCCCAAGAAAGUUAUUUUAUCUGUGUCACCAGAUUCCUUUUCCAAAUCAAGCUUCUUUUGUCAAAUGGAAAAUUGGAUGAAGUUGAUGGGUGAGAGGGUUCAUGAUUUUCUGGUUCUACAAGAGGAGGAUCAAUGUCAGUAGUAUCAUCCCCAUCAUCAUCAUCAUCGUUCUCCUCCUGCAACACUCUUAUAACUUCAUCACCAUCGCGGUUUUCAUCAUCAGAAUCUUGGUCAUCAAAGCCAUCUUCUGAGAGCCAACCGCCUUGUAAUUUACUAAGAUAAUCUUCAAUAUCAUUUCAUUUUUCAUUCAUUCUUUCAUUCUUUCAUUCAAGUUUCCCUAAAAAACAACUUAAAAUGAAAAUUUACAAAAAAAAAUUGACAUACAUUACAAGUGAAUUUACUGCGUGAUGAUGCAAGUGAUGUAAAUUUCCAUCACAUAGUUUUGAGAAAUUUAUUCACAGUGUUUUGAUAUAAAUUGUACAUAAAAUAACAAAAACCUUGAAAAAAUUAACCUUUUUUCCACUCACUUUUAUUGUAUUUUAUAUCUCCUUUUAUUUACUAUCAUUUCAGCUUCGCGACUCGCUGAACUAUGUCAGUGUUAGGUUUAUGCUAUGAGCAAAACAGCCGAUAUGUUGGCGGCAUUAUCACUUACAAGUGCAACCACUUUAUUUUGAAUUUUCCAUUCAUUGAUUUUGGCUUGUAAUGAAUUGUGCAGAUUUUCAGCAGUGUGCCUUUCGGAGAAAGAGAAGCAAUCCAAUAGUUAUGAUAUUAGUUUACUAUUAUUGUCUAAAUAAUGAGCUGUGAUGGAGAUAAAACUCACGUUAUUAAUUGAAGUCCAUGAGUCCGUUGUGAGGCAAACAGCCCAGUGUGCAGUGUCGUAUGUCUACAUGUACUUUUUAGGGUUCCAAACCCCAAUCACUUUACAAAAUGGCGUCGUUUCACCAAAUAUUAUACAUCGCAAAUUCACAAUUAAUAAAAUAAAUGUUUGCAUCGGCCGGUUAAUAUUUGGUAUGUUCAUGGUUUGGAUUUAUGCAACCUGUUGUGUUGCAAAGCAAUCCUCGCCUCCGCAAUCCGCAAAUUCUUGACGUUGAGAAGAUCUAUAGGUUAAUUUACGUUUCAUCUGAGUGUUCAUGCGUAUAUAUCCGGUACAUAUUGCAGGGCAACACUUUGUCGCUGUAAACUUAAUCUGUGGCAUUUUGUACGUUGUCUCUUAUUUAGCACAGCGCCUUUGUCACAUACUGGCAGCGCUCACUGAAGUCCAAGUAGCGCCAUUUCCAGCCGUAGUGGUAAAGCGCGAUCCCUUAGGUUUUCACAUUACGUUUACCCACGACCAGUGAAAAUUAAACAAAAUUAAUUUAAAGGGAUUCGGCGAAUUAAAAAUAUUCAUUUGUUUAUUAAAAUCGAAAAAUAAUUGAAAGUCUAAUCUGCCCUAGGGCGGUGCGAUUCGAAUAGCGACUUGACAUCAGUGCUGUGGAACUCUUGUUUCGGUGCUGGUUCGUUGGUCUAAAGGCGGCAAACAAACAAUGACCUCUUUACUGAGAUUUUUAAAAUAAAUUAAUCGACAAAAUGCUUUCAGCAAUGUGCAAUCAACGACCAACUCCAACUUCAGUCUUCGGCACGGUCACCCUGACGCUUCACACGUCUUCACGUGAUAUUGAGGCACGAACUUAAUCAUUAUAAUAUGUAGGACAUAACAAUACUUUAAUAAAUCUUUCGGUAAACAGGACAUCUUUUAACCUAAACAUAUAAAUAUUUUUUAAAUACUUUUGCGGGUAUUACAUUUACGUUACAAAAUUCAAAACACCAAAUAAUUCUUUAAUCAUUUAAUUUUAGCUCUAAUAGCGACCUAAUUGUAUUUAUUGCAUUCUGUUUAACAGCCACGCCCUUUCGACAGCGUAUACUACUCUGCCUGAAAGGCCACCUCGCCUGUUAUAACCUAAUUAAAAUUUGACAACAACUACGUUGCUAAAGUAGUUUUUAGUACACAACAGAAUUUAAAAAAUUGGAUGUAUCCAUCAAUGUCAUCUGUUAAAUAUUGAUCUAGCUCGAUAGGAACAUAGAAUUGAGGAAGUGGAAGUAAACGGUUCCUCGAGUAGUGAGGAAGUACGCUUAGAGUUUAAACUUUUAAGAUUAUACCUAUCACCGUCUAAUAUUUCUGUAACUCCGUCUUAUGUAGUUACAGUUUGUAUUUAGUUUUCAAUUUGGUUUGAAAAUUUGAUUCCGCUCAUGAUUCUUAAUUAAAACUUAAACGUUUUUUGUUAAGAUAUGAUUUUUUCUUACAUGGUUUAUUAGCUUCUUCUCUAGCCAAAACGUUGAUAUGGCGUUCGGAUACACACACUUGGCCACGGCCUUGGGACACACUGUUAUUAUGGUCUUUUUUACAACAAAGUCAAUGUGAUUCUUUUAAUUGUAACAAAAGUCACAUUGAUUGUGUGUUUUGAUUGUAGGCAACUGAAAUAUUUAGGUUUUGAUUUACUCACUGUCAAAGUGAAUAUGUGUAUGGCUUCAGGAUUGUCUGAUAUAAAUGCCAUUUUACAGUCUGUACAUUGUCUGAAUUGGGAUCUUUUAAAUAUAAAGACACACACAUAUCCACAAGCCUGUCCUUCAGGCGUUGCCUGCUCUACUGCUUCGGCUGCAUCAGUUAAAUCUAUUUGUAAGUGAUUGGCAUCAUAAUUCACAAAUUUGGAAAUGUGUAUGGAACUUCAGUCUUUUGCUUGGCGAGAAGGCUGUCUACCUAUACAUAUACACAUGAAUUGAGUAGAAUUGCUUAUACGGUUCCGAAGUUUUGAAAAUUCCAUCUUAAAAUAUAUCAGUAAUGUCCCAGCUAGUUAAUAUGUCACGCGCAAAUGGCGUCAUAAUUAAAGGCUGUUUUUUUUUUUAAUUGACGUGAAAUUGACUAUAUUUGAAACUUCUGGCAUUUUAAUUUAAUGGCAUAUGACUGCCACGGCUGGCUCGGACGAAGUCUAAUCUGGAGGUUCAAUUUUCAAUGACUUUUUCCAACAUUUGUGGCCGAAUAUCGGCAAUAACGCGGUGAAUGUUGUCCUUCAAGUGGUCAAUCGUUUAGGCUUAUCGGCAUAGACUAACGACUUCACAUAUCCCCGAAAAUAGUCUAGCGGCGUUAAAUUGUCAAUCUUGGAGGCCAAUUUACGGGGCCGAAACGUGAAACUAUGCGGUUACCAAACGUUUCCUUCAAUAAAUCAAUGUGGCACUAGCUGUGUGACAUGUUGCGCCGACUUGUUGAAACCACAGCUCCUUGACAUCAUAGUUUUUCAAUUGACGAACAAAAAAGUCAGUAAUCAUGGCUCUAUAGCGCGGUCACUAUUGACUGUAAUGUUCUGGCCAGCAUCGUUUUUAAAGAAGUACGGGACAAUUAUUUCAGGUGUGCUUUAUGGGCUAAUGAAAAACUAACCGUUUGCGGUUAGUUUUUCUGGAUUUAACGGUGGCUUAACAUACACUUGAAUCAACCUCGACCUUACAGAGUCAGUAAUAAUCUUUUCUGAUGAGUUUUCAACUACUACUACUUAACAUGAUAACUGCAAGGAAGUGAUUUUCCAGCCCCGCACCUAUAUUAUGCAGCUGUUGACUAACAUCAGUAAUCUUAUUUAAGUAAUAUUUCAUGUCCGGAAAUGAUUCAAGUUAAAUGCAAACAGCGUGCGUAGCAGGCCUAAUCGCCACGUUAGGCUUCUUCCUUCGUAUACGUUUUUUAGGUUUUGAUUUACUCACUGUCAAAGUAAAUAUGUGUAUGGCUUCAGGAUUGUCUGAUAUAAAUGCCUUUUUACAGUCUGUACAUUGUCUGAAUUGGAAUCUUUUAAAAAUAAAGACACACACACAUAUCCACAAGCCUGUCCUUCAGGCGUUGCCUGCUCUACUGCUUCGGCUGCAUCAGUUAAAUCUAUUUCUACCGCAAACUGCCGAUGAAUAGAAACAAGUUGCCAAGGAUUUUGAGAGCCAUUGAAAUGCUCCUCAUGUAAUCGAUGCUAUAAAUGGCAAACACGUGGACUUAAAGAACCAGGAGGUUUAUUGGAUCAUACUACUAUAACUACAAAAAAAAACAUUCAGUAUUGUGUUGAUAGCAGUUGUAAAUGCGAGUUCAUUAUGGUUGAUGCAGGGAGUAAUUCACGUGUAUCAGAUGGGGGUGUGCUGCAGAAUACAACAUUUGGACAGCAAUUAAAAAAAUAAUGCUUUAAAUAUCCCACCACCUGCAUUGUGGCCUGGAAGUUUCCCAAAAACUCCCAUACUUUUGUGUUGGAGAUGAUGCCUUUUCAAUGUCUCAAAAUUUACUGAAACCAUAUAGCCAAACUGAAACUUUGGAAACAUCUCUUUAUAUUUAAAAAACAAUGAUUCGUAAUCAGGUGUUUUUAUAUCGGUCAUGAUAUUCUUUGCUCUUGACAUUCCACAAAGACGACAAUUCUCUCUACAAUUGGAUAUAUUCGAUGAUAAACUCUGCCAUUUUUGGGAACCGACACGCGUGUGUUCUCCUUGCUGACGAAACACACACUAAAAAAUGCAAUGGAAAAAAAUAUUAUACGAGUAGGGGUUUAGUCUUUUUUCAUUCAACCAUCUCGAGCAACCUCCCGGUAAACCCCUAGUGUUAAUUUGACAUGCAAUAAAAAUAAAAACUGACUUGUUGAAAGUCGGCGUCGUCUAUGCCCUUU